rnacentral:lncRNA from 1 species
GUGAUAUACAGUUAUACCCUACUUUCAACAAUGCCAACAAGGCAUCUUCUUUCCCUUCCAUGUCAGCACGGAUCGCCACAUCAGCCAACCUUAACACUUUACUCUUCCCUUCACCUGCGGACGUGGCAGCUCCGAUGGCUGCUGCGGGUCCCAUUUCGUCCGAAACAAUCACUUUUCCGGUUAGCAACUCCAGCAACACUACCCCAAACGAGAAUACGUCCCAUUUUGGGUUGGGUUUCAGGCUACGAAGCGACUCAGGUGCAUGGUAAGGAGAUAUGCCCAAUGCACUUGGACUUGGGCUCGGAGUAGGCCCAGAUGCAAAGUCCUGGAAGCUAUCGCGCGAGGCUGUGGACCUCUUGCUACCAAAAUUACGAGCCGAUCCACAGGUCUUAUGACUGCUAUCUCCUGUUACAAGCCUUUCAAUUGGCAGCUCCGAUGGCUGCUGCAGGUCCCAUUUCGUCCGAAACAAUCACCUUUCCGGUUAGCAACUCCAGCAACACUACCCCAAACGAGAAUACGUCCCAUUUCGGGUUGGGUUUCAAGCUACGAAGGGACUCAGGUGCAUGGUAAGGAGAUAUGCCCAAUGCACUUGGACUUGGGCUAGGAGUAUGCCCAGAUGCAAAGUCCUGGAAGCUGUCACGAGAUGCUGUGGACCUCUUGCUACCAAAAAUACGAGCCGAUCCAUAGGUCUUAUGACUGCUAUCUCCUGUUACAAGCCUUUCAAUUCCAAAAUCUCCAAUCUUGGGCUCCAUAUCUGCUCCAAGUAAAAUGUUACUGGGCUUCAAAUUGCCGUGAACAUGCUUCUUUUCAUGAAUGUAAGUGAGCCCACGGGCCAC